UAGCGAAGGGGGCUAGCGUCGUUUCGGAUUUAGCUGGGCGUAAAGCGCACGUAGGCGGGUUGUUAAGUCAGGGGUGAAAUCCUGGAGCUCAACUCCAGAACUGCCUUGAUACUGGCAACCUAGAGGCUGGAAGAGGUUAGUGGAAUUCCCAGUGUAGAGGUGAAAUUCGUAGAUAUUGGGAAGAACACCAGUGGCGAAGGCGGCUAACUGGUCCAGAUCUGACGCUGAGGUGCGAAAGCGUGGGGAGCAAACAGG
rnacentral:rRNA from 1 species